ensembl:lncRNA
AUGCAAUUCACCUGCUAUGUUCUCAUCUUCCCUCAACAUGUAUCACCUGGACACUCUCACCAGUGAAGCUUAAAACCCUCUUGGAUAGAACAUCAACUCUAAACAAGCACAGUUAUGCAUUGUGUAUAAAAUUAACUCAACCUCAUGCUAACCUACAUAAGUACCUGUCUUAAGAGAGACCUCUGCACAGCUCAGACGCCAGUUGCAAGAGCUCUCUAACAUUAGAAUCAUCAACUGUGACUUAUAUAGUGUUAUUUCGGUACUUUAUACUUCACACAUUUUUGAACGUUGUUUAUAUGGGGAGUUCCUCUUUUGUGUCUAUAUUUAUUAAUAUGCCUUGUGCACUAAAGCUUCCUGUUUUUCAGUCUGGCCGAGCACUCGUUUGUGAGUAUAAACUGGCCUCUACAAGCCUUCAUUAGCAGAUACACAUUACAAAUACUUCAUAUAUACAGAGAAAAACCCAAUAAUCCACAUUUCACUAUUUUGUUCUUUGGUUCAGAUUUGGAUUCUGUAUUGUUCUUCAUUUGUUAUUAUUUAUGUUUAGAUUGUUUAUUGCUAAUCUUGGUUUGUUGUUGUCUGUUUGGGAGCUGACAUAGUCUCUAUAAAUGAACUUCUUUUUGGUGGAGUAGCAUCAGGAGAGAAGCUCCAGAGAGGCAUCUUCCAUGUUAAACACUAAAAUAUAACAUAAGAGAUCUUCUCAACGUGUUGUAUAUUUUAAUAUUUCCUUAUUAUUUUGUCAUAAAAUAAAUCAACCAAAUAACUUAAGCUGUGUGACAGCACCUUGCGUUUACGCCAGGCUGUGAACUGCCCUAAAUCUACUUGCUACACCCCCUUUUCACCUAGUUUAAUUUUUUUUCAAUCCUAAUUUAAACUAUUCCUGACUUCCCUCAAUGCACACUGUAAAGUGUAAAAGAUACAAUUAGCUUUCUCCUGGUAAAAGGUCCUACAUUAUUUUCUCUACCUUUGGAAACAUCCUCUAUCGAGUUAACCCAUUUCAUUUUUCAAACUUAGGCCUGAUUUCUUCGCCCCUUUAACGGGUAGCGCAUAUCCGGUCUGAACACUGUGUUUGGGCAAUUUCUUAAUUGUUGCAGGAUUUCUAUGUUAUGUAAAGUUCCUCUCAUCCCUUUUAUGCUUCCAUUAUAACCUGUGUCUAACAAGCUUUUGAUCUUCUUUGUAAUAUAAACAACUCGGUGUAUUUGUGCUCUGUUCUUCUCCUUUCUCUCGUCUGAUCAUCUCAAGUACGUCCUGUACCAAAUUUGCUUCCUCUUUUCAAGCCCCACAUUUAAUUACAAGCUCAAACAUAUUUGCCCUAUAUUGCUGUCUCGACGUGUUUCCUGUCAACUUAACAGAGUUAUUCUCAAACUCAGAGCUGAGGUUCCCCUUUUCUAAGUCUGUCUGUUCUACAAGAGAGCAAGUCGGUAAACAAGUUUAUCAUCACAAAGGUUAUUAGGCAAAGGUCACGUAGACAUUUGCCUAGUAACCCUAAAAGAACACAUUUCAUGUAGCUAAUCGCAUAUAUUAACACCCCCCUUUUUGUGACACAUCUCAUGUGUUACAAACUCAAAAUCCUUCACUCAGGUUAGGGAAUUAAAAGAAAAGUUUAGUCCUAUCAUAUUAUGUAUAAAUGCUCCGGAGCUUCAAACCUGUAUUUAAGGAAUGAAAUCAAAUUAAUCAUCAUGUCAAAUCUUUUCUUGGCUCCAUCCACAGCCUGCAUCCUUGAAACGUCCUAGAAACAAAAACCUGUGUGUUAACCAGAACAUCACCUUUUAUACUCAGUUUAUCCACUUAUGAUCCAACCUGUAUUAUAACAGAAAAGUUAAAACAGAACAAUUAUCAGUCAUGUGUCCAACCUUAGUCCAGUCUUUUGUCAGUGUCCAGUCGGUCCAACCUAUGGUCUGCCUGGUCCGUCCAGUCACCAUCCAUUUACACACAUUCACUCACAUGCAUUAACAUCAGGUAUUGCUGACAGUGGAGACUAUCUCGCAAAUAUUCAGUCUUCACUCUCAGCAACAUCAACUCAUUUAUUUGUUUUACUUUGUUUUUAAGAAAAUAGUUCUUUCUGCUUUUAGACUGGAUUGGCUCGCGGCAAUCCUUUUACUUUGUCAGCGCUGUUAUCCACUCUUUUGCAGGCCUGCUUACAACAAAAAUGAGAAAAAAGAGAGCUGAGUAUUAGCUCAUCAAAGUACAAAACAAAAUCACCUGACAGGUUUUUCUUUAUAAGUGCACUGUUAUAAAAACUAUGGGCCCUUUUAGACAUGUCCAUGUUUAUCAAAACUCCCUCUAUUAAAAAUAAAACAACAACCUCAAAAAUCUUCAACAAUCUUAAAUUUCACCCAUAGAACACACCCAAAACGUAAAAAAGCUACACCGUUUUGUACACGAGAUCCCCCUUUAAGCACUUUACCAAACUCACAUUCAACCUUAACAUAUAAGCACGUUCUCACAAUAUGUCAACACUAAUUUAUACACCUCCUAAUCAAAUUUGCACCUCUGAACAAUCUACCCUCCUUUAAGGCCUCAAUCACACACACACAGGAAGCUCCUCUGUCCACAUUCACACGAGCUCUCAAACUUUUUCCAUACUCAGCCAUAUCUCAACAAUUUAACUUGGCAAAAUAAAUACAUGUUUAAACUUUAUCACAUUAUUCGAUUAUUUUCAUUUUCUUUCUAUACUAAUCACUUACUCUGAUCAAUCAGUGCAAGAGCACUCCUGAGUCACUCUUAUAAACACUUUAAUCACUUUAUUAAACAUUCACACCAUUCUAUCACUCAUACAAGUAGCAAGCCGAUCUUCAUUGCGUAUGUUUGUGUGUGCUAUUUUGCAUAUAUGGCUUCACAGUCUCACAGACACUUUCCCAUUCUCCAGUUAAAGAGUCAG